CCUGGGGCUUUGUGCCCACGUCCUGGAUCCGUGUGAGUGCAUUUCUUUCCAGCGCCCUGAAGGACAAUUCGGGAGUCCCCACAGGACAGCAAAGGGAGGAGGUGCGGGAACAGAUGAUGGGAGCGAAGGAAAGGCAGGGAGUGUCGAUGCUGAGCUGCACGAUGCCAGCCCGAUGCCCUGGGCCCCAGCCCGGCGCCGCCGCUUGCGACGUGCAGAGAGCCGAGCGCCGCCCCGCAGCCCCCGCGCUCGCCUCCGCUCCGUUCCCUGGCGGGACUGGGCGAGAGCCCGAGCGGCAGCGGCGCAGGGCUGAGCCCCGGGGCGGAGCUGGCGGCGGCCCAGAGGAGGCGGCACGGCCGCAGCAGAGCCGGGGCUCAGGGGCACAGCGAGGCUCGGCCGGCGGAGCGGCGCCAUGCGGCGGGCUCGGGCCGCGGGGCUGCCGGCGCUGGCCGCGCUGCUGCUCGUGGCUGCGGUCAGAGCUCAAGUGCAGCAGGAGCCGUUCCUGGAGACCACCGAGGGCACCAGCAUCAGCAUCAAGUGCUCACACGCCAAUAUCCGGACUGGCGAUUUCAUCCAUUUCUACCGUCAGCUGCCGGGCCAAAGCCCCGAACUCGUGGCGGUCACUGCUAAAGCGGCCAAGAAGGUGCGAGCCCCUGAAGGGCGUCUGACGGUGUCGAAAGAUCGUCGCUCCAGCGCGCUGUGGCUGGCUGCGCCCCGGCGCGGGGACGCGGCCGUGUAUUACUGCGCGCUGGGGACCACGGGCAGAGGAGCCGGGGCUGCGGCCGGGCACGAACCGCCGCGGGCGGGGCCGGGCGGGGCCAGCAGGGGCCGCUGCCGCUCCGCCCGCCGGGCUCCCGGGGCGCGAAAUGUCUCUGUUCCAUACUGCAAGGAGAAUAAGAAGCAGCAUUCUCCCAGGGAUGGGUAA